CGGGGACACCGGGAUGGCCGGGAAGGUGGCGCUGCUCCUGUGGGCCUCUGCAGACCUGUUGGGGACCGUGCACUUUCCUACAAGAGGGUGUCCUCAAGGGGACAUUUUGAGGACAGCCCCGCACCCUGAUCCUGGGUGCCACUCUUCCAACGGGGCCACCCCCACUCAGCCCUGUCCCUUCUCCCUUCCAGCCCAGACCCUCGGCCUCGCUGGUGAGUCCUCAGGGGAUGCCAUGUCCCCACCCCGCUGUCCCCAGCCCCGUGGUGGCCCUGGCAGGCUGGUGUCCCCUGUCACCCACAGGUGCCCAGAGCACCCAGCUCCUGGUGGAGCCCCCCUGGACGCCGGCGGUGCUGUGGGACCGGGUGACACUGACCUGCCAGGGCUCGGGGACCGCCGCUGCCACCUCCUGAUACAAGGACGGGCGGCGCUGGUGGCAGGAGCGACGACACAGCUUCAGUGUCACAGAGAGUGGCACCUACAAGUGUCACAGACCCGGGACCAGGAUCAGCUCCCCCAUGAUGGUGCCAAAUGGGCCGCUGGUGCUGCAGGCGCCAGCACAGGCACUGCUGGAGGGGGACACGGUGACACUGCGCUGCCGGGGCAGGCACUCUGUCACCAAGGUGGGA